rnacentral:rRNA from 1 species
AUUGAACGCUGGCGGCAUGCCUAACACAUGCAAGUCGAGCGAGCGGCGGACGGGUGAGUAAUGUCUGGGACACUGCCUGAUGGAGGGGGAUAACUACUGGAAACGGUAGCUCAUACCGCAUACCAUCGGAUGUGCCCAGAUGGGAUGAGAUUGGAGGUGGGGUAACGGAUCACCUCGGCGACGAUCCCUAGCUGGUCUGAGAGGAGGACCCGCCACACUGGAGCUGAGACACGGUCCAGACUCCUACGGGAGGCAGCAGUGGGGAAUAUUGCACAAUGGGCGCAAGCCUGAUACAGCCAUGCCGCGUGUGUGAAGAAGGCCUUCGGGUUGUAAAGAACUUUCAGCGGGGAGGCGUUACCCGCAGAAGAAGCACCGGCUAACUCCGUGCCAGCAGCCGCGGUAAUAC